rnacentral:rRNA from 1 species
AGCAGCAGCCGCGGGAAUACGGAGGGUGCGAGCGUUAAUCGGAAUUACUGGGCGUAAAGCGUACGCAGGCGGUUUGUUAAGUCAGAUGUGAAAUCCCCGGGCUUAACCCGGGAACUGCAUUUGAAACUGGCAGGCUAGAGUCUCGUAGAGGGGGGUAGAAUUCCAGGUGUAGCGGUGAAAUGCGUAGAGAUCUGGAGGAACACCGAUGGCGAAGGCAGCCCCCUGGGCCAAUACUGACGCUCAGGCACGAAAGCGUGGGGAGCAAACAGGAUUAGAUACCCGCGUAGUCCCUGUCUCUUAUAC